rnacentral:rRNA from 1 species
GAACGCUGGCGGCGUGGAUAAGACAUGCAAGUCGAACGAGAAACUUACUUAGCUUGCUUUGAAAGUUUCUAGUGGCGGACGGGUGAGUAACACGUGAGUUACCUGCCCCGAAGUGGGGGAUAGCCUUCCGAAAGGGAGAUUAAUACCCCAUGUGAUCGCAAGAUUAAAGGCGGCCAUCUUUGAUGGCUGUCGCUUCGGGAUGGGCUCGCGGCCUAUCAGCUAGUUGGUGAGGUAACUGCUUACCAAGGCGAUGACGGGUAGCUGGUCUGAGAGGACGACCAGUCACACUGGAACUGAGACACGGUCCAGACACCUACGGGUGGCAGCAGUCGAGAAUCAUUCGCAAUGGGCGAAAGCCUGACGGUGCGACGCCGCGUGGAGGAUGAAGGCCCUAGGGUCGUAAACUCCUGUCAUCAGGGAGUAAUGGCUCACGUAGUAACUGCCGUGAGCAGUGAUAGUACCUGAAGAGGAAGGGACGGCAAACUUCGUGCC